rnacentral:rRNA from 1 species
UUGACCUCAAAUCAGGUGGGACUACCCGCUGAACUUAAGCAUAUCAAUAAGCGGAGGAAAAGAAACUAACAAGGAUUCCCUUAGUAACUGCGAGUGAAGUGGGAAGAGCUCAAAUUUGGAAUCUGGCAGUCUCUGGCUGUCCGAGUUGUAAUCUAGAGAAGUGUUGCCCGCGCUGGACCGUGUACAAGUCUCCUGGGAUGGAGCGUCAUAGAGGGUGAGAAUCCCGUCUCUGACAUGGACUACCAGGGCUUUUGUGGUGCGCUCUCAAAGAGUCGAGUUGUUUGGGAAUGCAGCUCAAAAUGGGUGGUAAAUUCCAUCUAAAGCUAAAUAUUGGCGAGAGACCGAUAGUGAACAAGUACCGUGAGGGAAAGAUGAAAAGAACUUUGGAAAGAGAGUUAAACAGUACGUGAAAUUGCUGAAAGGGAAACGCUUGAAGUCAGUCGCGUUGGCCAGGGAUCAGCCUUGCUUCUUAGUGUGGUGUACUUCCUGGUUGACGGGUCAGCAUCGGUU